rfam:Triticum urartu cultivar G1812 contig747675, whole genome shotgun sequence.
UUUGUACUCCCUCCAUCCGGAAAUACUUGUCGUAGAAAUGGUUGUAUCUAGACUUAUUUUAGUUAUAGAUACAUCCAUUUUAUCCAUUUCUAGGACAAGUAUUUCCGGACGGAGGGAGUAUGUU